AUUGAACGCUGGCGGCAGGCCUAACACAUGCAAGUCGAGCGAGCGGCGGACGGGGGAGUAAUGUAUGGGGACUGCCCGAUAGAGGGGGGUAACUACUGGAACCGGUAGCUAAUUCCGCAUACUAUCGGAUAACCCAUAUGGGAUUAGCUAGUAGGUGAGGUAAUGGCUAACCUGGGCGACGAUCCCUAGCUGGUCUGAGAGGAUGAUCAGCAAAAUGGGGACUGAGACACGGCCCAGACUCCUACGGAGGCAGCAGUGGGGAAGAGUGCACAAUGGGCGCAAGCCUGAUGCAGCUAUGCCGCGUGGAUGAAGAAGGCCCUAGGGUUGUAAAGUACCUUCAGUCGGGAGGCGUUACCGACAGAAGAAGCACCGGCUAACUCCGUGCCAGCAGCCGCGGUAAUAC
rnacentral:rRNA from 1 species